CCUGCCCACUGAUAAAAUUUAAAUGGCCGCAGUACCUUGACUGUGCUAAGGUAGCAUAAUAAAUUGACUCUUAAUUGGGGCCUUGAAUGAACGGAUAAAUGAAUAAUUUCUGUCUUAAAUAAACUUAAUAAAAAUUACUAAGAAGGUGAAAAUUCCUUUAAAUUUAUUUAAUAGACGAGAAGACCCUAGAAGUUUUAAAUUUUGUUGGGGCGACAGUAUAGCAUAAUUAAUAAACCUAUAUAAAUUAAUAUAUAUAAAACGAAUAAUUUUAAUAAUAAAUAAACUACCCUAGGGAUAACAGCAUAAUUUAUAUUUAAGUUUGUGACCUCGAUGUUGGACUAGGAACUUUUAAUAUUAAUAAUAUUAAUUGGUAGUUCUGUUCGA
rnacentral:rRNA from 1 species